GUCAGUUUGUCCGAGCGGUUAAGGAGUUGGACUUGAAAUCCAAUGGGCUUUGCCCGCACAGGUUCAAAUCCUGUAGCUGACG
rnacentral:tRNA from 1 species